rnacentral:tRNA from 1 species
CAUUAGAUAACUAAAUUUAAGUAAUGGUCUCUUAAACCGUCAAUAGUAUUUUUCCUUACUUCUAAUGA